ACCGUUUUCCUCUGGUGUUUAGAGUAUUCUGCAUUUCUAGCACCAUUUGAAAUCGGUUA
rnacentral:pre_miRNA from 1 species